CUCGUCAGCUAAGCAGGGUCGGGCCUGGUUAGUACUUGGAUGGGAGACCGCCUGGGAAUACCAGGUGCUGUAAGC
rnacentral:rRNA from 1 species